GGAGACGACGCGAAAUAUAUCAAAAACACAAAUUCCCUGUGUGCGCUCGCGAUAUUGGAGUAAUACAACAGAAAAAGUUGAGCGGUCUCUCGAUGUUUAUAAUAAAACGAACCACAGUGAUUACAGGUCCACAAAUAUUUCUCUUACCGUAGAAAAAGACCAAUUCCAAACAAUUCUUGAUGUUGACCACGAAGAGAAAGAAUUUUUUAUCAUGAAUCUC